rnacentral:rRNA from 1 species
CCUACGGGUCGCAGCAGUGGGGAAUAUUGGACAAUGGGCGCAAGCCUGAUCCAGCCAUGCCGCGUGAGUGAUGAAGGCCCUAGGGUUGUAAAGCUCUUUCAGUGGGGACGAUAAUGACGGUACCCACAGAAGAAGCCCCGGCUAACUUCGUGCCAGCAGCCGCGGUAAUACGAAGGGGGCUAGCGUUGUUCGGAAUUACUGGCGUAAAGCGCACGUAGGCGGACAUUUAAGUCAGGGGUGAAAUCCCGGGGCCCAACCCCGGAACUGCCUUUGAUACUGGGUGUCUUGAGUUCGGAAGAGGUGAGUGGAAUUGCGAGUGUAGAGGUGAAAUUCGUAGAUAUUCGCAGGAACACCUGUGGCGAAGGCGGCUCACUGGUCCGAUACUGACGCUGAGGUGCGAAAGCGUGGGGAGCAAACAGGAUUAGAUACCCCUGUAGUC